AAACAUCUCUGUUUGACGUUACGGCCGAUGGAAAAGUACAACGCGGUGUUUGAAGUGUGUGUGGGCUGAUUUUUCCCCCACAAAUGUCAUUGUGAUUUUGGAAACUGCUCUCUGCAGGGGGUCCAAAUGACAGGAUGGGAGGAAUUAGGCAGUCCAUUUGAGGUUGAGGAGGGGAUAACCCUCUAAUCCGAAUGGGCUUUUUUGCACUAGGGAGGAAAAGCUGAAAAUCAAUAUUUCGUCUGGUUGCUGAGCAAAGUAAUCUUUCUGGGGAACAGGUGUCCUAUCGCCUGGCAAAGCCUCUUGUCCUUGCAUCACACAUCGAAUGGUGGCAGCUUUGGGAGGGGGACGCCCAUUCAUACCGAGGAUUGGAUGGCACCCUCAAAGGAGCUGACCUGAAAUCAUACUCGAGUCUGAAGAUAAGUGCCGCUGAGUGAUUUGUAAAAGGCCUAUAGGGCUGGAUUAUGGACUGGGCCUGGGCCUCCAAAACUGCUAAAGGAAGUUGAAGAGCAGUACCUUCAGUGCAUAAAGCAUGAGCGGCCUUACAGUGAAUACAGGCAAUUCACCCCCAAUCCAGAAGGGGCGCCCGCAGCAAUGCAGCAGAAGAACAGCAAAUGCCAUAAGAUGCGCACUGGAAAACAAAGCCCACUAGACAGUGAC
ensembl:lncRNA